AAUUCAUUGUGAAGAACAGAAAGCGAUACUUGAAAAGAACGACUUAAGAAUAUCCUUCCCUGUACAACUCCAUGCCUUCACUGGUCUUCCUUCCUGUGCAUUUCCUGCUCAUAAUAAGUCCAGUCCUUCAGAGAGUAAACAGACCAGUCAGCUUUCCUGAAGUGGGGACACAGGAAUGAGCUUCAAGUCACUGCCUUUGCAUUUCAUGU